rnacentral:rRNA from 1 species
GUGGGGAAUUUUCCGCAAUGGGCGAAAGCCUGACGGAGCAAUACCGCGUGAGGGAAGAAGGCUCUUGGGUUGUAAACCUCUUUUCUUAGGGAAGAAAAAAAUGACGGUACCUAAGGAAUCAGCAUCGGCUAACUCCGUGCCAGCAGCCGCGGUAAUACGGAGGAUGCAAGCGUUAUCCGGAAUGAUUGGGCGUAAAGCGUCCGCAGGUGGCAAUUCAAGUCUGCGGUUAAAGGUUCUGGCUCAACCAGAGACAAGCCGUGGAAACUGAAUAGCUAGAGUAUGGUAGGGGCAGAGGGAAUUCCCAGUGUAGCGGUGAAAUGCGUAGAGAUUGGGAAGAACACCGGUGGCGAAAGCGCUCUGCUAGGCCAAAACUGACACUGAGGGACGAAAGCUAGGGGAGCGAAUGGG